AAGAGACUCAGGCUGCAAGCAGGAAAGAAGAGGUGCCUGCUUCAGCAGACAGGGGAGGGAGUGGGCUGGGCUUGUCUUUUAAAGAGACAAAACAGAUCAUUAGGAGGUUAGGCACCAUAGGUUAAGGGAAUUGGGGCAGUGGAUUCUCAAGAUUGCUUCCUGCUUUUUUUGUGGGCCUUGAAUUUUCGGGGGAGACCCUGUCCCGCCCAAUCUGCAAAACCCACUCUCUGAUAAGGGUGCGCGCUUCCCGAACCGAAUCACGAGACUGGAUCAAUAUCCUAGGAGUUGAACAGACACACACAGAGAGACCAGACUCAUUCAUCCAAAGGGCAUAUGGGAAUCCUGGACUAGGACCACUUUCCAACUUCCUGUGCCCGGUUCAUCGCUGCAUACUACCACAACUAAAUAUAAGCAGAGAAAAAGGUUGGCUCCUAACAGCAGCACCCCAUUUCCUCCAAAGAAGACAGAUGAGCACAGAACAGCAUCCAUCCACAGUUCUCUUUGUCUUGUCAAAUGAAAGCACAAAACACAAGAUCUCCCGAAACCUGGUGAGCCCUGCACUAACAACAGAAAACAAAUACAUCCUGAAAGCCCCUGUUCUCAACAACCAUGGAGCACCAUGAAGGGUGGCUCUAGGCAGCCAAUUGAGUCCAAGAGACACUGGAGUGUUCCACACUACAAAUCCUGGACAGGAGUGAAGCAACCAGCUCCCCUUUGACUGGCAUCUCAGUUUUCUCGGGUCCCCUAAGACUCCGUUGACCAGAAAUAAGCAGGAAGUAGUUUUGAGAACUCAACACCCUCAUCCCCUUAACCUGCCAUGCCUAACUCCUCACCUUUUUAUUAUAAGAGAAAGGCGAGGGUGUUGUAAUUAUAGCUCUACUGGCCUGCCCUGUCACCUGGGCACCCUGUCCUUUAAGAGACAAUCUCCCCCUUCUCUGCUGAGGCAAGGAGAUCUUCUGCCUCCUCUCCACCUCUUUCUCUCUCUGACUGUCCUCCUGAAGUAGCUACCUCCCCUGCUUUCUCUCUUUCUUCUAUAGCCCUCUUACCCUUAUACCCUUCCCAAUACCCACUAAAUAAACACUAUACCCAAGUUCUCUCUCCGCAUGGCAUAUCUAUCUGUCUCCCACCCACCACAGUCUCACACAGCUUCCUUUUAAUAGCAAUAUUUUAAUCCUAGUGAUACUGUGAAAGUUACAUUUUAAGUUUUAAUUACUACAUCUAAAAGAUCCAUGAAACAAAAAAUGCCUCUAAUCUACAAGCCCCUUACCAAAGGGCAGACAGUUCCUGAAAUGCUGGAGGUCCUUGUUUAUGGGAGAUAACAAGCCACUUGCUCCCACUCCCCUAAACAAGUUUGUUUUACCCAUCUGCACUGUAUGUGUUCAAUCACAUGUGAGUGGGUGGUUCAUGAUAUAUUUGCCCCUGAUUGGAUGUAGACUGGAGGUACAUCAGGAUGUAUGCUUGCCUCUGAUUGGAUGUAGACUGGAGGUACAUCAGGAUGUAUGCUUGCCCCUGAUUGGAUGUAGACUAGAGGUACAUCAGGAUGUAUGCUUGCCCCUGAUUGGAUGUAGACUGGAGGUACAUCAGGGUGUAUGCUUGCCCCUGAUUGGACUUUAUGGGAAGUACUUAAGCCACUGCAAACCGUGACUUGGGGCCACUUUUUCUGGGAGAUCAGAGAUGGAUCUGGCCAGUAUUUAAUUAAAGCUUGCUUCAAAUUUGUCUUUAAAUUAACAAUAAAUACAUCUACCUUUCAGCUCUGAUACUGAUGAAAGUCAGUGCUAGGAGUCCUAGGUUUCUAUGUGAGGCCCAAGGCAACUGAGAAAGAAUGCCUAUUUCUUUUUAUUUUACUGACAUAACUUUGCUUUUUAAAAUCCCAAAAAGGA